AAGAAGGAAAAAGUGGGACUGUCAGUAAAGUGGAUAUUACACGCUUCAGAGUUCUCUGUAGCCAGUGCUUGUCGCUGGUUUUCAAAUAGCUACUUGGCCCGUGAGGCUGUGAACACAGAGGGUGCAUUUGAUCGCAGUGUUUGCUGAGACGUGUGGCUGGGAGGACGGGGCUGUAGCUCCAUCUCGCCGCCGCCUUUCCCUGCCCCGGCCAAAGUCCAGCAAAUGGGCAAAGUGAGGAGCAGGAGGGGCGGGACUUGGCUGACGUCCAUCCUCGGCAGCAUCCUCCCUGACCUGGAUCCUCACGAGGAGACUAUUAGGAAGCCUCAUGCGUACCUCCUUUGGGGACCCUAACAUUGGUGUGAAAACCCAGGAGGGUUCCACGGGGAAGGGGAGCAAUCGCUGGCCUCCCUCCCUUAUGGCCAAGGAGGACACCGGAUCCAGGACCUCUCCUUCCCCAUUGCUGGUGCCCCACUCAAUACCGGCUCGUUUCAUCUCUG